UGAGAUUUUUGCAUUACUCACUCACAAUGUUCCUAAAACUCCAACUAAGUAAGAACUAGCUAUCAUGCUCUCCAAUGAAAUGGAUGAUGAGUAGAAUAUGGGUUCUGAGAUCUUAAGUGGCUGCUAACCCUAGUUGGAAACGACCGCUUAAAUUGGAUGACAAAUUUCAGACCCUUGUCACAACAUUGUUGUCAUACCCUAAAUUUUGACCAAGGAUCCCACGGACGCGUGUCGUUUGACUCUAGCCGAUCUCAUGAUUCAGUGAAAAUUUCGGCAGGGAGGUAUUUUAAAAUACCUCAUUUUUUGCUCCGAUUGCAGGCACUUUCCUCUCGUUUUAUUUCAUUAUCUAAUUUCCAUCUUUUAUUUUUAAUUUUAAAGUUAGUUACUUUUUUUUUAAUAGUUAAUAAAUGUUUAUUUUCCAGUUUUUGUCCAAUAAAGUUAAUAAGUCCAAAAAUUCCAACAAAGGGUCCCUUUUUUUCUUUUUUCAUUUCUCCUCCGUACGCCUCGUGUUCAGCCAAUUUCACAGGGUCAAUUUUUUGUUUCCAAAUCUGGGAACGCGGUAGUAACUUCUGCAAGUUAUUUCCUUAUUCAAUCCAACCCUAAUGCUAUAAAAGCAAACCUGCAAAAUACAGAAAAGACAGACAAUUUUCCACAGCCGCAAACCGAGAAACCACAGAAUCACCAAUCAGUAGCCGCAAUCAUCAAACCCUAAUUUUCUUUCUCUUUCAAAAAAUUUCAAAAUCAAACACUCAAAUCCAAACCGAUUUCAACCAACACUUUAUUCAAACCGAAUCUGUUCAUAAGCACCUCAAAUAAAUCAAGUUUCGCACUUAAACAUCACCUUUUCUUUUGAAUCCGUCACUUACAAACUCGAAUCCGAACCCACAACAAUAAGAGUAACGGAUCCGAUUUAAACAAAGGUUCAAUCGCUCCGUUUCAACAAGUAUCAGAACCGAGUUUGAUGAACAGAAGCGAAUUCAAAGAUUAGAGAAGAAGCAGAUCGGAAUCCGAGGUAAAAAAAGGUAGUAUUUUAUUUUCGUGUUGUUUGAAUGUAGAUCUAGAACGUGUUGUUGCUUUUCUUUGAAAUCUAAGUCCGGAUCUAUCACCUAUGCGAAAAAGGAUAUAAUAAUAUGUAAUUGUUUUUGAAAAAGGAGGGUUUUGAAAACUCCGGCACGGUGGUGCACCACCGGCCACCGCGCCGGAAAACUCAUGAAAAGAAGAACAGAGAAGAGGGAGACGUGAGAUUAGAGAAGUGAAGAGAGAGAAAUGAAUGAAGAAAGUGAAAGAAAUGGGUCUUACACCCUAUUUAUAUAACCUCGAACCGGGCGGGUCUAACCGACCCGCCCACGACCCGUUUCUGCUUAAGCCCAGUUGUUCCUUUUUAAUUUCACUACAGUUUUAUU
rnacentral:lncRNA from 1 species